AUUGAACGCUGGCGGCAGGCCUAACACAUGCAAAUCGAGCGGAUGAAGGGAGCUUGCUCCUGGAUUCAGCGGCGGACGGGUGAGUAAUGCCUAGGAAUCUGCCUGGUAGUGGGGGAUAACGUCCGGAAACGGGCGCUAAUACCGCAUACGUCCUGAGGGAGAAAGUGGGGGAUCUUCGGACCUCACGCUAUCAGAUGAGCCUAGGUCGGAUUAGCUAGUUGGUGGGGUAAAGGCCUACCAAGGCGACGAUCCGUAACUGGUCUGAGAGGAUGAUCAGUCACACUGGAACUGAGACACGGUCCAGACUCCUACGGGAGGCAGCAGUGGGGAAUAUUGGGCAAUGGGCGAAAGUCUGAUCCAGCCAGGCCGCGUGUGUGAAGAAGGUCUUCGGAGUGUAAAGCACUUUAAGUUGGGAGGAAGGGCAGUAAGUUAAUACCUAGCUGUUUUGACGGUACCAACAGAAUAAGCACCGGCUAACUACGUG
rnacentral:rRNA from 1 species